AGUAAUGGUGCGAUACUUUACAGCUUUGUGCUGUACACCACCACUGCAUUGUGAAGUUAGUGGAGUUAGUGAUACUUCACAGUAAAUCUCAUAGGUAAGUGUGAUCGAAUUUCUAUUGAGUUUUCGUCUACAGCUAGAUCAAUUAAUGGAAUAACUGUCACAGUCGAUCAAAUGGACCCAAUGAUUGUAUGGAUUCGAUUGGCAGCACACUCUACCCAACCUGCAGCACUGGCUAUAUGGUGACUGAUCAGGGAACCCGUCCCUCACAACCACUGUUGACUCUAACACAAUAUCACUCACUGCUCAAUGGAGCUGGCUUCCCUUACUGUAUCUGCGUCCAACCUACAGUCUUCUGACUCCAGUGGGACCUCGAUCUGGGUAUUGCUGUGGGCCGGGGUUGAGCAUGGACCCAGGUAAUGUAAUCAGUUUUAACGGUAGCCUCCAUCAUCAGACUAUUUCAGUUUUCACCCUAUUUUAGUAAUUUGGGUAUGAUUUCUGCUCUCACUUUGUAAGAAUGUAUAGACUGUGGGACGAUAGAACAACUUGAUGGUAUUUUACAUGUACAUGCAUGUAUACAUGCAGUGACUGCUCAAUAGUUCUAUUCAUAGUGAUGAUCAUCUUUGCCAUCGUUCUGUGCUACUGGGACAAAACAAGAACUAAAUCUCACAUCAAUAAUCUUCAACUUAACUGAGACAAGCACCUUACAAACCACUGGAUCUACUAGAAGAAUGAGGACUGUACCUGCAUAUGUAAGAGAUGUAACAAAAGCUCUGUGUUAUGUUUUGUUUUCUCCUAGAUUUUCUUGGUUGUGUUGAGCCUUCACCAAAAGGCACAAAUGCUGUGAGCAGUUUAGCAGUCAGUAUAGCAGUGGUGGCACUGUGAUUGAUGGGGCCCUCCAAUUGUGUCCAGGCACUAUCGUCAGCCUCACCUGUUCUCAUGACAGCACUGGCGAUCUGACUCGUUGGGAAAUUGGUGCUCCCAUAGAGUGCUCUGCUAUUGCUGUUCACUCUACCAC